rnacentral:rRNA from 1 species
CGGGCCGCUGCAGCAGCAAGGAAUAUUGUGCAAUGGGCGAAAGCCUGACACAGCGACGCCGCGUGGGGGAAGAAGGCCUUCGGGUUGUAAACCCCUUUUCUCAGGGAAGAAUAAUGACGGUACCUGAGGAAUAAGUCUCGGCUAACUACGUGCCAGCAGCCGCGGUAAUACGUAGGAGGCGAGUGUUAUCCGGAUUUACUGGGCGUAAAGCGGGCGUAGGUGGCCUUACAAGUCGGAUGUGAAAUCUCCUGGCUUAACUGGGAGGGGUCAUUCGAAACUGUUGGGCUAGAGGGCAGCAGAGGGAAGUGGAAUUCCCGGUGUAGUGGUGAAAUGCGUAGAUAUCGGGAGGAACACCAGUGGCGAAGGCGGCUUCCUGGGCUGUUUCUGACGCUGAGGCCCUAAAGCAUGGGGAGCGAACAGGAUUAGAUACCCGCGUAGUC